rnacentral:rRNA from 1 species
AGCGAACGCUGACGGCGUGCCUAACACAUGCAAGUCGAACGUGAACGGGAGCAAUCCUUAGUAAAGUGGCGUACGGGUGAGUAACGCGUAGGCAAUCUACCCCCGAGUCUGGAAUAACCUGCCGAAAGGCGGGCUAAUACUGGAUAGAGCGACGGAAUCCGUAAUUGGGUUUUUCGGGAAAGGGAGGUCGUAAGAUCCCUUGCUCUGGGAUGAGCCUGCGUCCCAUCAGCUAGUUGGUAAGGUAAUGGCUUACCAAGGCGAUGACGGGUAGCUGGUCUGAGAGGAUGAUCAGCCACACUGGAACUGAAACACGGUCCAGACUCCUACGGGAGGCAGCAGUGGGGAAUCUUGCGCAAUGGACGAAAGUCUGACGCAGCCACGCCGCGUGAGUGAAGAAGGCCUUCGGGUUGUAAAGCUCUGUCGCCCGGGACGAACAUUCUUGUGGUUAACAGCCACAGGAACUGACGGUACCGGGAGAGGAAGCACCGGCUAACUCUGUGCCAGCCGCCGCCGUAAUAC